rnacentral:rRNA from 1 species
CCCUUAGACGUUCUGGGCCGCACGCGCGCUACACUGACCAGUGCAACAAGCAUCCGUCCUUGGCCGACAGGCUCGGGUAAUCUUUGAACGCUGUUCGUGAUUGGGAUAGACCUUUGCAAUUAUGGGUCUUCAACGAGGAAUUCCUAGUAAACGCAAGUCAUCAGCUUGCAUUGAUUACGUCCCUGCCCUUUGUACACACCGCCCGUCGCACCUACCGAUUGAAUGGUCCGGUGAAAUCUCGGGACGGCGGCUUGGUCGCUUGCGUCCGACUGCUGAAACUUGAUUAAACCAUAUCAUUUAGAGGAAGGUGAAGUCGUAACA